UUCCUGGAGGACUAGUGGCUAGGCCACAGUGCUCUCACCGCUGUGGCGUGGGUUCGAUUCCUGGCUAGGGAA
rnacentral:tRNA from 1 species